rnacentral:rRNA from 1 species
AACGAACGCUGGCGGCGUGCCUAACACAUGCAAGUCGAGCGGGAAAGCGGGGGCAACCCCGCGAGUACAGCGGCGAACGGGUGAGUAACACGUAGGUAACCUACCCCUAGGACUUGGGAUAACCUGCCGAAAGGCGGGCUAAUACUAGAUAAGACCACGGGAGCUCCGGCUCCUGCGGUAAAAGGUGGCCUCUGCUUGCAAGCUACCGCCCAGGGAUGGACCCGCGGCGCAUUAGCUAGUUGGUGGGGUAAUGGCUCACCAAGGCGACGAUGCGUAGCCGACCUGAGAGGGUGAUCGGCCACACUGGGACUGAGACACGGCCCAGACUCCUACGGGAGGCAGCAUG